rnacentral:lncRNA from 1 species
AGCAGACAAAGUGGCCAGCCCUAAUUUAUUAAAAACAUAAACCCAGUUGUGUGCAUUUGUGAUGCUUCUUGUAAUGUUCAGUGUUUCUAUUUGGUUACAAUUUUGCUGCCUUUUUCACUCCAUUCUUUCGGUUUUUCUGAAGGAAUUCUAUCCCCAAACUACAGCCCAGCAGUGAGUUCUGGGAUACAGAAGUCCCUGAGAGUUCAAUACAUGGCUUAUGUUCCUUCUCUGAAUUCUGGGUACUUGAACUUCUUCCUAUUUUAUCUCCUGCUGAAAUGGCAGCUGAACAGUGGAAUAACUGAAAUACUGGCAAAAGAUUAGGUAAGUCUAGGUGGAAAUUUUAGAUGAACAUCAUCUACUGGGAAGGGAUAGUGCAGUGUGAGCCAGGC